GAUGAAGAACGUAGCGAAAUGCGAUAAGUAAUGUGAAUUGCAGAACUCAGUGAAUCAUCGAAUCUUUGAACGCACAUUGCGCCCCCUGGUAUUCCGGGGGGCAUGCCUGUCCGAGCGUCAUUGCUGCCCUCAAGCACGGCUUGUGUGUUGGGCCUCCGUCCUCCUCCCGGGGGACGGGCCCGAAAGGCAGCGGCGGCACCGCGUCCGGUCCUCGAGCGUAUGGGGCUUCGUCACCCGCUCUUGUAGGCCCGGCCGGCGCUUGCCGACACAUCAAUCUUUUUUCCAGGUUGACCUCGGAUCAGGUAGGGAUACCCGCUGAACUUAAGCAUAUCAAUAAGCGGAGGA
rnacentral:misc_RNA from 1 species